GGCAUUGAGAGUAAACGAAGAAUCUAUGCUCCUGGUAAUAUCCUGUAUUUUAUCUACAUUAUUUGAUUCUGUAGAGAACUUACCUGCAGUGCCUCAUCCUGUACUCAUCUGCAUUUCCUCAUACUGAAAGGCACUAACCUGCAUUACUUCAUCCUGAACUUGCCUGAAUUACAUCUUACCGAAAGACUUUCCUUAUCAGCUUCCAAGAAUCCUGAUUUGUGGCGUAUUUCCUUAAUUGAAGAAUCUUAACUGCAUGAUCUUCUAAGCAACCUACAUUAUAUUAUUUUGGAAUAUACCUACCUGUUUCAACCUCUGC